GGCAUCAGUAUACAGAAUUGCAUUGCAUAAGCUGAGAAACUUUGUGGCUCUCAUUUUGAUAUGGAACCGAAUUGUCUACAGCAGCACUGAAGAUGAUGCUGGUUGGUUUCGCAUUCCAAUUGAUAAGGUGGGCGAAAGCCUCUUUCUAAGCAGUCACUCUGGCACGACUCAUGAGUGCAACCCGCUAAAUCUCUGCAUGAGCGUCGUUGAACUACAAUGCAAUACAUCACAUAAUAAAACAAAUUAGUAAUACAGUCCAUAAAACAAAAAAAAUUGCUCAUAGAUUAAUUAAUUUCAACAUUUGGAAACAACAUGUAAAAUAUAAAUAAUGUUGCUUACUUGCUUGGCAGGACGACAACGUUGAGAACAUGAACACAAUGACCAAUAAAGCAACAGCUAUGUUGUACACGACCAUCAUUGUGUUUCUCUUGAUGAGUGCCAUGAGGAAAAAUGUGACUUAUGUUCGAUCUUUGUUUUUCAUUUCCAAGCACCUUUACAGGUGUUUAUAUAGACACACAAUAAAAUCUUAGAUAUCAAUUGGUUGAUUUCAUGCAUUUAUGUACCUCCCCUAAUUAUUAUAAGUGUAUCUUGCUAGUUUUACAUAAAUACCAAAGAUUUUAUUUUAGAAAAAAUUAUAUAUUUCAAUAUUAUGGCAUUUAAUGUUGAAGAUAACAUAUUGAGCCAAAAUAAAAUCUUUAGGUAUCGGCACUACAUUUAUGUCUCCAUUAUAAAAUAGUACCCAUACCGAUCUUGUUGGCUAUUUUGUAUCAUCCACACUUAUGUAAGUAUAUCUUACAUUUAUUUUACAUUAUUUUUUGUGUGGUAUAUUGUUUUAGUAUAUACAGAGGCUUGCACAAUCAAAUCUUAUGCAUUGAUGAAUCUUGCAUAUACGAGAUCUCAAAAAUAAAUAUUGCUGUUGUACUCCAUACUCAAGAAUAUUAGGUAUCAUUAUUGCACUUUUUCUGCUAAAUUAAUGUCAAUGUAUCUUACUGAGUCUUAAUAAAUAUCAUGCAAUCGUUUGUAUAUGUUAUAAUUAUUGAUAUUAUUUUUUGCGGCAUUUAUUGACCUCUAUUAUAUGGUGGCAUACAUAAUUAUUGAUAUUGCUUCUUUUCGCUUCAUUUGUAUUAUACAUUGUUAUAAAUUUUGCAUUUAUAUCCUAUCAACAAUAAAUAAAUGCUUGGACAAACGUAAGCUUGUACAUACUGACGACUAUGCAGCCCGUAUGUAGCAACACCAUUGUAGUAAACAUUUCAGAGUUUUUCCCGUUAUGCUUAUAAUCGGCUAUAAUAAUUGAUCUUUGAUGUUUCAUGCUUCAGGGUAUUUAUAAAAAUGUCCCCUGUUUUAUUGAACAAAUGGAAGGGCACAACAACCAAGAUCUUUCUUGUGGGUCUUGCAUAAUUGUAGACUGAUUACAUGGUUUCAUGCUUAUGCACAUCUUAUUAUUCCUAAGUUAAAGUAGGAUUUGCAGUGCUUUAUGCUUGAGUUGAUGUAUGUCAUCUGAAGUAGAAUGGAGCCUGAACCAAGUUGUAUGACUCAUUUUCACUAGGUGCACAUACUGCUGCUCUUCUAUAUGGAAUGUGAUACUGGGGUAUUAAUACUUAGUGUUGCUAUCUCAGAUAUUGCUAAAAAAAUCUCCGGUUUUGUAACUUGGUACGCUUUAGUGGUGCAAUACUUUUCAACUAUUUGCACCUUUUAUUUAAAAGCAUUGUAACCCGUUGACGCUGAAAAGUGGCACGAUCAUAAAGAGUAGCUUGAACUAUGUCAAGAUUAAUUCAAAAUUAUUGUUGAAUUCACUAUGGGAUGGAUCUCUUCGAGAAGAUCAAAAUGGAUAUGAAGAUGGUCUAAAACAGAGCCCGAAUGCAAAAGUUGUGACAAGUUCAAAGAUUGGAUAUAGUAUCGACCGUAUGGUCUCGAUAGCCGUACCGGGACUAAAGGUAUUGGGUUUUAGCGCCGACCCUAUAGUCCCGGUUCCCAGACCAGGACAAAUGGGCCUCAUGAACUGGGACAAAUGGGCCUUUUUCUACUAGUGCAUAUUGGUCCUGCCCAAUAAAUAUUUCAGAAAUUCAUAAUAAAUCCUAGAGGCUAGCUUGGACCAUUCACGCAUGUCAAUAGGUGGGACUAAAGUUUAGUCCUAUAUUGCUAGUUGAGAGAGAGUUACACCUCCUCAUAAGGUGAGCUCUUUCCCCACUUGUAUGAGCAUGAUAAAAAGAGAGGUUCUCACGCGCUCCUCCUCUGCCGCCUGCCUCGCCUCACCUUGCCUCAUCACGACACACUGCGUCACGCCACGGGCUGCGGGAAUGCCUAGAGCAUGCAUGAAGCUGAAGCGUUUUGCUGCUGUAGUUAGUGGAGAUUGGUUACGAGGUUUGUUGGGCUUUGGCUGCUACGUCUCCAUCUCCCGUCUCUUUGUUUCAUUUCCCGUCGCAGCCUAUUUGCCUCCUCUUUCUGUGCUUAUAAAAUAGAGGUCUCUCCUCUCCAUAGACACACAGAAACAGAGCAUCACUUGCCUCCUACUACCAAGUUCCAUAGCACUGCGCUACCAGGUUCUUCCUCAUCCCAGCUUACGGCGUGCACCGCUGAUAGGGGAGAAUGAACACGUCCUAUACAGCCUAUUUGCCUCCUCUUUCUGUGCUUAUAAAAUAGAGGUAUCUCCUCUCCAUAGACACACAGAAACAGAGCACCACUUGCCUCCUACUACCAUGUUCCAGAGCACUACGCUACCAGGUUCUUCUCCAUCCCGGCUUAUGGCGUGCAUCACCGAUAGGGACAGUAGGCCUCCGGAACCACGCGACAUUGAGUCAUGCACGGGUGAAGGGAAAUAAGGUGUUUGGGGAGCGCUCUGUGCGACUACUGGCUUCUCCACCCCAGAUGUCGCUACAGAUGUUGAAGACACUUUCCCCAAUGAUGAAUUCUUUUAGGACAUCGGCAACCUCUUCGGUAACAAGGGCGACAGCAUCGUGAAUGGUGCCGCCCCUGCUCCUGUCUAGGACGUGUUCAUUCUCCGCUAUUUAAUAUGUUUUUUCCUGAUUUUAGUUCAAUUUCCUGUUCUAGUAAUUGGACUAGAUAUGCCUUGUUCAAAUUCACUACUACAUAUGUUAUUUUCUCACUCUCUAUUAGACUACAUGUCUAGUUUAAUCUUUACUAUUAUGGUCAUGUUUUAUCUACUAUUUUUAUGUAUUAAAUCAUAUGGUAGACUGCUCAUAUUUCCAACACGCCCCAUGUACAUGUAUGGGUGUAACAAACACAUCCUAUGUGGUCAGUCUUCCUUCAUUAAAAUGUUCCAUGGCAAUCCAAUGAGAUUGAUGCCUCUAAUACCUAUGUUUAUAAGUUUAUUCAAUUAUUGGCAUCAGUAUACAGCAUUGCAUUGCAUAAGCUGAGAAACUUUGUGGCUCUCAUUUUAAUAUGGAACUGAAUUGUCUACAGCAGCACUGAAGAUGAUGCUGGUUGGUUUCACAUUCCAAUUGAUAAGGUGGACGAAAGCCUCUUUCUAAGCAGUCACUCUGGCACGACUCAUGAGUGCAACCCGCUAAAUCUCUGCAUGAGCGUCGUUGAACUACAAUGCAAUCCAUCACAUAAUAAAAAAAAUUAGUAAUACAGUCCAUAGAACAAAAAUAUUUGCUCAUAGAUUAAUUAAUUUCAACAUUUGGAAACAGCAUGUAAAAUAUAAAUAAUGUUGCUUACUUGCUUGGCAGGACGGCAACUUUGAGAACAUGAACACAAUGACCAAUAAGGCAACAGCUAUGUUGUACAUGACCAUCCUUGUGUUUCUCUUGAUGAGUGCCAUGAGGAAAAAUAUGACUUAUGUUCAAUCUUUGUUUUUCAUUUCCAAGCUCCUUUACAGGUGUUUAUAUAGACGCAC
rnacentral:lncRNA from 1 species